rnacentral:rRNA from 1 species
UACGUAGGGUGCGAGCGUUAAUCGGAAUUACUGGGCGUAAAGCGUGCGCAGGCGGUUAUAUAAGACAGUUGUGAAAUCCCCGGGCUCAACCUGGGAACUGCAUCUGUGACUGUAUAGCUAGAGUACGGUAGAGGGGGAUGGAAUUCCGCGUGUAGCAGUGAAAUGCGUAGAUAUGCGGAGGAACACCGAUGGCGAAGGCAAUCCCCUGGGCCUGCACUGACGCUCAUGCACGAAAGCGUGGGGAGCAAACAGG